rnacentral:rRNA from 1 species
UACGUAGGGGGCUAGCGUUGUCCGGAAUCAUUGGGCGUAAAGAGCGUGUAGGCGGCUCGGUAAGUCCGCUGUGAAAGUCCAGGGCUCAACCCUGGAAUGCCAGUGGAAACUGUCGAGCUAGAGUCCGGAAGAGGCGAGUGGAAUUCCUGGUGUAGCGGUGAAAUGCGCAGAUAUCAGGAGGAACACCAAUGGCGAAGGCAGCUCGCUGGGACGGUACUGACGCUGAGGCACGAAAGCGUGGGGAGCAAACAGG